UCUAGAAUACUCCAUGACAACAGGAAUUCCUGUGCUCUGAAAACACUCGAUGUUGCAGCUUCCCAAGGUUCAUUUUUCUUGCUAUCGUUGGAUAUCAGAUUCCUGCAUGAAAGAAGAAGUAACUGGAUAGUUGUAAAGCCACAGGAAGCAGUGGGUGCAAAAAGUCAGUACAAUUAGCAGCCAGAAGAGAGGGAGCUGCUUUGUUUUAAAGAACCCAGGAGGUUCAAUACUCCUGCUCCUCAAGUCAACAGCAGCAGAUGGCAACAAAGAACUGGUGUGAAUGAAGUAGUGUGGAAUGGCAGAGCAACUGGAGGAAUUGCUAUCAGAUUGAAAAUGGCAUCAGCUCUAGGUUUCCCUGUUCAGAACAGUGCAUAGCGAAAGCUCUGGGCUUGAACGCUCUUUCAGGAACACAUGAUGCAAAGUGGCAAGGUGUCAGUGAACCCAGGUCCUGUCCUUUGGAAGAAAAAUACAGAAAGCGCGAGGACAUGGAGAGGUGCUCAAGCAAGCGGACAAAUGUCACGAUGGAGACCAGAAAAAAACAAAACAGGCACAAUAUGUCAUCGUGAAGGAAGAGAGGAUGCGAGGUUGUGUUUCAUUGUAAUUGUGCAGCUGUUGUUGUCCCGUUCACAAUGGCCAGUAAUGAGACGUGCUGACCGCAGGUGAAGCUGGUCAAGGGUGUUGCUGCCUCCCCCCAGAAACAACCCUGGAGGCAGAGGGAGGUUUGGGUUACAUCACAGGAACCUGCAGCCUGUUAGAUCUCAUUCAGAGAUGCCUGUUUAUUGUAAAGCCCUCCAGGUUGCAGUGUCGGAUGAAAUGACCUUGAUUGGGAAGAAGUAGGGAGCUGCGUCAGCAUGCGUAGGCUGCACAGGAACAGUGUUUCCUGAGUCCUAGUGUUGCAGGACAGAAGCAUCAAGUCCCACAAGUUGGGGGGACAGUGCGUUUCUGAAGUGGAUCCCCCUCUACUACAAGAUUUGGGGGCCCCAGGAAUAAGUCAUGCGCCUCUAAAGAAACCCGCGGGGGAGUAUAUACUGUAUCUAUACUUAACGGCUCUUCUUCCAUUAAACUUCCAUGAAGCUUCUUGUCUUGGGUUGUGAGGGAGAUGCAAGCAGCUGUUCCAAGCGAUGGCUGAGCUCUGUGAUCGCGGGUUUGAGCAAAGGCCAUGUUACUAGCUGACUGUAACUGUGACUGUGACUUGCCCUGUUGCUGGGGUUAGGGUGGGAUUAGAUGGCCAGGACUCCCUUCGCCAUAGGCAUCACACAGAAACCCCCACGACUUCAUUAUAAUACAUACAUAAUGUCUCACACAUACUUAAAUAAUUUCUAUUCACCAAAAUGCAACAUCAGGAUGACAAACAGAGAAUACUGACACUAUAAUGUUUACAACACGUGCGCUUGAUUUUUCCCAACGACUAUCUUUUCCCCAAAUAAAACAGGAACAGCUGGUUGUAGAUGCAGACAGCAUGUCCCAUCGAAAGACUGCCUUACAAAAUGAUUUUUAUUAGUGAGGAAAACUAUUCAUAGGGUGGUGAUGACGUCAAUCAUCAGUGACAAAUUUGACCAGGGCUUUUACACUCAAGACAGCUGCUAUGCUGUCUCUGUCCAUGUGGUUGUUGUGAUGCAGCCUAAUUUCUGUUGCCAGAAAAUAGGAGGCUUGAAAGACUAUCACAAGUCCAUUUAGCAAUAACCCUGGGACUGGUGGGUUACUUUUCAACUAGUUGUUUAAACAGUUAUAUAAAAAGCCAUUUAACACGAUGAUAACUGAACUCACCUGCUGCUUCCUCCUGUACAUCCUGUCUUGCCCCUUAACACUUAUCUUAGGACAAGCGAUGAAAACCCUGUUCAUUCCGGCACAAGAAGCCAGGCUUGAGGAGAAACACUCCACAGCCAGUCUGAAGUUUUAUAAAGCUGUAUUUUAAGGGUUUAUUAACAUGUAGAACAAAAUCCAUUCUCUGACUAUACACGUUCUAUUUUUUUCUGUUAUACUUUUCAUUCCCAAAUGCUUUGCGCCAUGCCAAGAGCACUCUUAUGCUUUGGGGGGUCUAGAGAAUUUCAAACUUUCCUGUACAGCAACGCUCUUCAGCUUGGCUGUUAUCUAUUUACAUAACUCUUUUCAAUAACUCUGCAACACAGGCAACGCAGGGUGAGCUAAGAAGUCCAUUAUGUAACAGUAGUUAGAACACCAAAAGCACUAAGUGUACUGUUCUAUAAUUUCUUCAGAUCUUCUGAAAAUGCUGGGCUCUAGUGGAGGCCUGAAACAGCCAAGGAGAAAACAGUGUUAUUGAUUGUGCUCUACAGACCUGUCAGAAAGAAGUUAUUGUGUUGAGACAAUGUGUUUUCUUUACUCUGGCACAAAUUGAAAAGGUAGUUAAAACAUGUCAUAGAUAUUCUUUACAGUUUCUACGCUACAUUAAACAUCUCGUUGUUAUUUCCACUGUCGGAGCUCUCCGUUCUGAACAGAUGAUACCGUGGUGAGAGAGGAAACUGAACUGCAUUGUCUCACUUCACUCCAGUUCAGCCAUGAGAAAUACAGAUCAUAACAAGGUGUCGCUCUACUCAGGACUGAUUGACUUUGAUAACAUAUGGAUAGAGAUGAGAGAUGAUCAAUUUUCUCCACUGUGGAUCCUGAUUCACUAAAGAUCUGCAUUUGUGUCUGUGUGUAAAUAUGCAGGCAAUACUAGUCGGAGUCUGUGUACGGGCUACUGAAAUUCCUGCCUUUGAGGCACAGAGCCACUGUUCAUCUAUCGCUUUCACCAGCAGAAUGAGUAAUCCCACAGAACUUGAUAUCAUCAACCUUCCUGUGGCGGGCUUGUAAUGGAGUCACUCCUAGGGCAAUGCAGGUGUUAGAUUUACAGUAUAUCAUUGGUGUCAGCCCUAGAGAAGCUCAAGGGCAGGGGUCACAAGAAUGACAUUCCACAUGUGGAAUGCUUGCAAUUAUUGUUCAAGGACAAGGAAUGACAAAGAGAGGGAACACACAGAAACAGGUCCCUGAACGUGGAUGUUCUCAGAAGGUGGCCUGUGGCAGCUGAUUAGAGACAAGCUUGGAACUCUAUCUGAAAAGAGCUACCUGUUUAUACAAAUUCAGUGGCCUUUGGAAUACCACGAGUGGAGACCCAUUGGCAGAAUAUCACAGCUCAGCGCUGGGGACCUGUGACAGAGAGGACUCUACACUGACAACACACUGGAGAAGACUGUAACAGCAGCUAUCAUCAAAGAGGAGCAUUGAGACACUGACAUUGUACAAUUUCAAGUGCUAUAAAAUAUAAUGAAUUGUAUUAUAGAAUAAGUGAAACGAUACAGUACUGUACAUGUCAGUAGUCCUAUACUGUACACUCACCACACAAUAAAACACUCAGUUCA